rnacentral:rRNA from 1 species
GCAGGUCAUUUGUUGUCUCAAGAUUAGCCAUGCAUGUCUUAGUACAGACUAUCUCACAGUGAAACUGCGAAUGGCUCAUUAAAUCAGCUAAGGUUCCUUAGAUCGUACAAUCCUACUUGGAUAACUGUAGUAAUUCUAGAGCUAAUACAUGCAACAAGCUCCGACCUUCCCUGGGAAGAGCGCUUUUAUUAGAUCAAAACCAAUCGGUUCCUUCGGGUUCCGUCCAAUUGGUGACUCUGGAUAACUUUGUGCUGAUCGCAUGGCCACGAGCCGGCGACGUAUCUUUCAAAUGUCUGCCCUAUCAACUUUCGAUGGUACCUGAUAUGGCUACCAUGGUUGUAACGGGUAACGGGGAAUCAGGGUUCGAUUCCGGAGAGGGAGCAUGAGGAACGGCUACCACAUCCAAGGAAGGCAGCAGGCGCGCAAAUUACCCACUCCUGACACGGGGAGGUAGUGACGAAAAAUAACAAUACGGGACUCUUUCGAGGCCCCGUAAUUGGAAUGAGUACACUUUAAAUCCUUUAACGAGGAUCUAUUGGAGGGCAAGUCUGGUGCCAGCAGCCGCGGUAAUUCCAGCUCCAAUAGCGUAUAUUAAAGUUGUUGCAGUUAAAAAGCUCGUAGUUGGAUCUCGGGUCCAGGCUUGUGGUGCAGCUUAGGCUGCUUACUGCUCGUCCUGACCUACCUACCGGUUUUCCCUUGGUGCUCUUAAGUGAGUGUCUUGGGUGGCCGGAACGUUUACUUUGAAAAAAUUAGAGUGCUCAAAGCAGGCUUACGCCUGAAUAUUAGUGCAUGGAAUAAUUGAAUAGGACCUCGGUUCUAUUUUGUUGGUUUUCGGAACUCGAGGUAAUGAUUAAGAGGGACAGACGGGGGCAUUCGUAUUACGGUGUUAGAGGUGAAAUUCUUGGAUCGCCGUAAGACGAACUACUGCGAAAGCAUUUGCCAAGAAUGUUUUCAUUAGUCAAGAACGAAAGUCAGAGGUUCGAAGACGAUCAGAUACCGUCGUAGUUCUGACCAUAACGAUGCCAACUAGCGAUCCGCAGAGUUGUUCAAUGACUCGGCGGGCAGCUUCGGAAUCAAGUCUUUUGGCUUCCGGGGAGUAUGUUGCAAGCUGAACUUAAGACUGACGAUGCUACCACAGGAAUGAGCUGCGCCUAUUGACUCACACGGUAAACUCCACCCGG